AUUCCAAGCUGAGUCCUGAGGAGGAAAGCUGCUGAUUCAAAGCCUGUUCUCCUGACUUAAAUUGCAGGUUGCUGAUUUCAGAGAGUGGGAUGAAGUUGGGUGGGGUGACUGCCCUGGCUGACUUUGAGAUAGUCACACCCCCACCCAUCGUGCACUGCAGUGCGCUGAGAGGGAGAGGGGUAAGAAAAUCACGCUGGCAAGUGUCCCAGGCCAGUGCAGAUUAAGGUUCCGCUGUGGGAGGCCCAAAAUGACUGGGAGUUGCUAUUAGAGCACAUGUCCACGAGAUGGCACCAGAGUGCCAGCAGAGCCCCGCUGUAGCUCCAAGGCUGCAUCUCCAGGCUCAGAUACAGGGCGGAAAAUGAUUGGUGGAGACCAGAUAUUUCCAUUUGGAUACAUGUUGCCUCAAACUCUGUGGCUCAGUGUGCCUCAACUCAGAGGAUUUAGGCUCUGCCAUCACAUCUCUGCUUCAGUCUCUACAUGAUUGGGUGCCCCAAUGGCCUGAGUGCCUUUAGCUGAUUUGAAGUAGCACACUGGACCCAGAAAUACCUGGCUUAAAUCUUGGGGUGCAGUUUUUUAGAAUCAGGCUGGUAUGAUAUUUGGCUUCUGGAAAGCUGGGCUUUGGGUCAUGAAUUCAGCCCAUCAAUGCAGUAGUAUUUUGGGGGGGUGGAGUUUCUCAUCAUCCCUGUGCUCUUUCUGUCCAGAGGUCUCCACAUCCUCCUCCUUCCUGCUCUACCUAAGCCUCGUCCUCAUCUGCGGGACCCUGUGCCAAGGAACCUACCCAAAUCCAGGGAUUGGGUUGGUGUUGAAUGGGGUGAAUGUCCUGGCGACUUUGAGACAGUUCUACCUGCAAGGUAAAGGAGUUAGGAAAUCAUACUGAGCCUCUUCCUCCCCUGCCAGACGCCUGUUAGAAGGAACAUACCUAAAACCAGGUAAUGUGAAUAGAGGCUGGGUGGUCCUUGAUUUCAGGUCCUUGAUUUCCCAGGGCUGAAGGGGGAUGAUGGAUUCGGAGCCUGCUCACGUGACUCAAAAGCAGGGUUGUUGAUUUCAGGGU